rnacentral:lncRNA from 1 species
CGCGGCGUCGUCAUAGUGGCAUUUGUGUUUUAGGGCUAGAUCUGGGGCGGCCGCUCGGCGCGGACUAGCAGCGCGGGGGACGGGGACGGGACGGAGGAAGAUGAGCUGGGUUUUGGCCUUCCGUGACUGGUUUGAAAAUUGAAUUCUCUCAGCCGGUGUGGUGUGGGGGUGUGGGGGAGAGGAGAUGGAGCGGAAGCCGGAGGCGGAGGCGGAGGCGGAGGAACCAACCCAGACUGAUGGAUGGACGAGUGAGAAACAGAGGCCGAGCACGACGGACGCGUGCGCCUGCGUGCCGUGGGGUGGGAAAUGCAAAAUUGCCGCC